AAGAAAGAGAAGUAAUAUAAGAAAAAAUAAACAAAUACAAAAGAAAUAGUUAACUUACUAAGUAGUGCAAGCGUUUUAUAAAACCCACUGAAUCUAGUAACUACAUAGAACCCACAAAGGCAACAAUUAAUAGUGAUGAAAAAGCGGCGUUCACUUGUUAGCGAGCGACAAAAGAAUACUCGCUUAAAUAGAAAAUAACUGAAUGCAAUUUUCAACUAGUGUUGACAGAUUGGUUUUGAAAAAAAUGUCUACAAUCAUUAACGAACGAAAUGAAUCAUAUGUCAGAGAGCUGAAUUUGGAAUUUUAUCAUAGUAGGCAUUCUUUUGCCACUCGCUUAUAAUUGAAACUAGCAUAUAAUAAAAUAUUGCAAAAAAAAAAAAAACGAAAACAAUCUCCGCAACAGAAUGUUUCAGGUUACUACUAAAACUAACUGAGAACACCGAACAGGAAUUUUUAUAUUGGUACAAGUGUAUUUUUAAGAAGCGGUAUAAUCAAACUAAAGAACCUAUUAAAAACCAACGCUAAUAAUAAAACUUAAUAUUAUUUUAUAUAAAUACAAUUUAUUACUAUUAUGAUUAUAAUCAUUAAUAUUAUCAUUGAUAUUAUUGAUAUUUUUUUUAAAGCGCUUAGCAACCCUUUAGCUAAGCAACAACUAACCGAUACAAAUCCACAGAGAGCAUUUACCAACAUCUAGGUGAACCAAUUGCUUAGAAUAAAAGUAAAAUUAGUACAUUAAAGAGCAACCUUAAUUAAUUUAUGAACAAAUUGCAACUAUGGUAUAAUAGCAACCACAAAACUAAUUUGGAACUUUAGAUAUGUAUAGGUACAUAUAAAUAUAUAUAUAAAAAAUUUUAGCAGGCUCGAGAAAAGUAAAGGAAUACUUAGUUGACUUAUCUACCACUAACUAACCAACAAACUAACUAACUAACUAAUUGAAUAAUACUAAAAUAUAUAUCGAUACUAUUUACGAGUAUUUGCCGCAGACACGGGAAGCAUACAAAUUUACACCUUUUUAUACUAAUUUUUGAGUGGUUUUCGUUUUUAAUACAACAGCAAACAUACUUAAAUACAUACAUAUAUAUAUGCAUAUAUUUGAUAUAUAAAAGAAGCUAGAAUCGUGUUCGGUGUGUUAGGCAAAUUCAAAGCAAUUACAAAUGUGUUAGCUAAACUAUAAAAAAAUAUACACCCAUGAAACAACAACAAAAAAGUAACAACAACCAUAAAGUAGAUAAUUGUGAAAGUAACUCAUAAUGAAUUGAACGUACGUUAAAGUUGACAAUUUGCUAAACAAUAAACAACAACAAUUGGAAAUAAUUAAUAAAAAAAUAAAUUGAAAUAAAAGUACUAUAAAAGAAAGUAUUGUAAUAAUAAUAAUAUUGCAUAUGUAGUCGUGAUUAAUUUUUUUGUGUAUGUAUGUAGUUACAAGUAUUAUAAAAGUAUGAAAAAAAAAAAUAAAAUAAAAAAAAUAGAAAAAAACUUGAGUAUGCAAUUUUUACAAAACAACAAACGAAAAACAAAAGCUUAGAAAAAACUUCCCAUAAAUGAAACUGAAAAGCUGAGAAAAAACAAGAAAAAAAAAAUAACAGAGAGAAAGAGGGCGUAUAGUUGUAUGGGCUAAUAAAUCUAAAUAACACAAGUAACGUUAACCUAUAAUAGAUAAUAAUAAUAAUAAUAGAGUUAUGAAAAGUAAUAAAAACUCCACUAAAACACAAUUGAUAUAGAAAAGAACAAAAAAAAUAAAUAAAAACAAUAACAAAAAAAUAAAAACAAUAAUAAAUACAUAAAUAGCAAACUUAGGAACAACUAAAUAAUCAACUACUAAAAAUAUGUUUGUAUGUCUGUACAGAAAUAAAUCACUAGAUUUUAGCAAAUGGGCAAGACAAGUAAUGCGCCAACAAAAGAAA